GUCAAGUUUUAUUUCACAGCACACACACAAGACAGCAGAUUGUAUGUACAGAGAGAUAUAAAUAUAUAUACUGUACAAUGUAUACACUGAGAGCAGAAACUCCCUGCAAUGAGAACUGUCCUCUCCAUGUGUCAUAUCCACCUCAGAGCGAAGACCUGGAACUUCUACUACACAAAGCCAGUAACACCAACAUCUACCGGGCAGGGAAAUGUCUUCAGAGGAUCUCCUGUAAUUGCUCUAUAGAACCACAGCUCUGCAGACCAUCUCCUCAUCAGAUUUUACACAUUCAUCCAUCUAAAGAUUAUGACAACCCACUGAUCCAGCAGUAACCAUGGUGGUCUACGACAGCACAUCUAUUGCUCCACCAGGUUUUCCUCUCCAUCCAGAGAGCCUACACAUAUGUAGGUUGGAUGUUCAUUCCAUUAUGGAAAACUCCCCAGACCAAUCUCCCCCAGCUAAGUUCUUCAUUUAAUGAACCAUCACAAGGGAUCAACACUGUUCCUUCAAUUAGACCGGACACAUUAGAUCAUGGAUCCCAGGUCCAAAUCAACCUUCAAAUAUCUCACUGGGACAGACGCAGAUCAACCCUUCAGACUACAUCACACACCCCAGACUCAGCUUCUUCUCAGGCCAUCAGACAUUCCACACAAUGACCCAAAUCCAAAAACCACACUCAUCCUCAGACUUGACUACAACGUACCACACCUCAGCCUAGAUGCAAUGUCUCACCAUCUUCAUAUAUACAAGGUUCUCCAGCAGAUCCGACCAUCUCAUCAACAGUACCACUUUCCUUGUGACGUACGUCUAGACAAGGGAGGUCUGGCACCAUUGUGAUCUCAGCCUGGGUCAGUGUCUCUUCUGAGCUGUCCGGCAGCUCAGGCCUCCCUGAUUAGACCAAUCCUUCUGUCUGCACUCUCUUAAAUAGGCGAGAUUUCCUUAGAACGUAAUAAAUAAGCCUCCAUUUCUACUUUAGUAAUUUACUUGAACUAGAUAUAUUUACAUAGAAGCAUUCUGGAAGUUGUCCCAAGCGUUUUCAUUCACAUCAAAGGGCAGUGUUACACCUAGUGACCCUUUCUGCACGAUGUGGCCAUUUUCUACCACAUUUUCCAAUCAAUGCAGUGUGUGAAAUGUGAUAAUCACGGUGAUUGUUUGUGCUAAGACCUGCUUGUUAUGUCAUGCGUCACAAGGAUUGUACUGGGGAAGACAAUCAUUAAGGUGGCCAUAAACAUGACACCGAUAAAUCUACAAAUAUUUCUCCAGAUUCCACCAUAGAUUGACACCUGUCCACCAUGCCAAAGGGACAGGGCUUGGCUGGACUGGACAACCAUUAGUUGUAAGGGUAGGGCCUGAGGCGCCAUAUUUUUAUGCCGUUACUGAAGCCAAAAUCAAGAGUGGAUUCAAAAAAGGGGAAGUGGCUGCCAAAAACUGCAGGUUUGGCUAUACUCUAAACAUGAUUGUACUGGACUUGGCUCACUAGAUGGACUAUCGUUAGGUGUACACGUGAUUGUACUGGACUUGGCUCAUUAGAUGGACUAUCGUAAGGUGUACACGUGAUUGUACUGGACUUGGCUCAUUAGAUGGGACUAUCGUUAGGUGUACACGUGAUUGUACUGGACCUGGCUCAUUAGACGGGACUAUCGUUAGGUGUACACGUGAUUGUACUGGACCUGGCUCAUUAGACGGGACUAUCGUUAGGUGUACACGUGAUUGUACUGGACCUGGCUCACUAGACGGGACUAUCGUUAGGUGUACACGUGAUUGUACUGGACCUGGCUCACUAGACGGGACUAUCGUUAGGUGUACACGUGAUUGUACUGGACUUGGCUCAUUAGAUGGACUAUCGUUAGGUGUACACGUGAUUGUACUGGACCUGGCUCAUUAGACGGGACUAUCGUUAGGUGUACACGUGAUUGUACUGGACUUGGCUAAUUAGAUAGGACUAUCGUUAGGUGUACAUGUGAUUGUACUGGACUUGGCUCAUUAGAUGGACUAUCGUAAGGUGUACACGUGAUUGUACUGGACCUGGCUCAUUAGAUGGGACUAUCGUUAGGUGUACACGUGCUUGUACUGGACCUGGCUCACUAGAUGGACUAUCGUUAGGUGUACACGUGAUUGUACUGGACUUGGCUCAUUAGAUGGACUAUCGUAAGGUGUACACGUGAUUGUACUGGACUUGGCUCAUUAGAUGGGACUAUCGUUAGGUGUACACGUGAUUGUACUGGACCUGGCUCAUUAGACGGGACUAUCGUUAGGUGUACACGUGAUUGUACUGGACCUGGCUCAUUAGACGGGACUAUCGUUAGGUGUACACGUGAUUGUACUGGACCUGGCUCACUAGACGGGACUAUCGUUAGGUGUACACGUGAUUGUACUGGACCUGGCUCACUAGACGGGACUAUCGUUAGGUGUACACGUGAUUGUACUGGACUUGGCUCAUUAGAUGGACUAUCGUUAGGUGUACACGUGAUUGUACUGGACCUGGCUCAUUAGACGGGACUAUCGUUAGGUGUACACGUGAUUGUACUGGACUUGGCUAAUUAGAUAGGACUAUCGUUAGGUGUACACGUGAUUGUACUGGACCUGGCUCAUUAGAUGGGACUAUCGUUAGGUGUACACGUGAUUGUACUGGACUUGGCUCAUUAGAUGGACUAUCGUAAGGUGUACACGUGAUUGUACUGGACUUGGCUCAUUAGAUGGGACUAUCGUUAGGUGUACACGUGAUUGUACUGGACUUGGCUCACUAGACGGGACUAUCGUUAGGUGUACAUGUGAUUGUACUGGACUUGGCUCAUUAGACGGGACUAUCGUUAGGUGUACAUGUGAUUGUACUGGACUUGGCUCAUUAGAUGGACUAUCGUUAGGUGUACACGUGAUUGUACUGAACCUGGCUCAUUAGAUGGACUAUCGUUAGGUGUACACGUGAUUGUACUGGACCUGGCUCAUUAGAUGGACUAUCGUUAGGUGUACAUGUGAUUGUACUGGACUUGGCUCAUUAGAUGGACUAUCGUUAGGUGUACACGUGAUUGUACUGAACCUGGCUCAUUAGAUGGACUAUCGUUAGGUGUACACGUGAUUGUACUGGACCUGGCUCAUUAGAUGGACUAUCGUUAGGUGUACACGUGAUUGUACUGGACCUGGCUCAUUAGAUGGGACUAUCGUUAGGUGUACACGUGAUUGUACUGACCUGGCUCAUUAGACGGGACUAUCGUUAGGUGUACACGUGAUUGUACUGGACCUG